CUCCUUUUAUCCAACUCCCGCAAAAAAUUCCUCACCUUUUCUCGCACGCUUUUUUCUCAUUUCACCUCAAUCGCGUCUCUUUUUCCUUCUCUUCCGCCAUUGUCGCUCUUCUCGCCCUUUCUGAAGAUCUCAGAAUCUCCGCCGUCUCUCUCUUUCCUGCGCCUCUCCUCCCUUUUCCGAUAGUUGAUCUUCUUUUUCUUUUUGUUUUUCUUUAAUAUAGUCUUUAUUAUUCUUUUGUUGCCACUGGUGUCGGGGCAUUCACAUUCCUUCUGUUGAGACCGUCGUCUGUUUUGCAAAAACUUAGUUCGGUUGUCUUUUAUUACUGCUUAAUCUCUUGCCUUGUCUUUUAAAUAAUUAUGGUGUUGGUUUUCUGAUAUACAACGGAGAAGUUCUUUUCAUAUUUCUUUUGAUCUUUCUGGAGGGAACUUCAAGGGGAGUCCUCUGUUUUUCAUGGAAUCAUCUGGCGGGUCUUGAGAAUAAGGGUCUUCUUCAUGAGUCAAUGAAUUCCCACCUUCGGAUUUUUUAGUUUUUCUCCUUUGCUUUUUGCCUUCUUUUUUCCAAAUCUUUUGUAGAUACUAGGGUUGGGAGAUGCAGACAGCAGAUGUUGAGUUGCGGGUAGAAGCUUCAGCUUUACUCGAGGUGGCGGAUGCACGGGGGAGGCACCGGAUUCAAGCCGAGUUGAAGAGGCUGGAGCAAGAGGCGCGGUUUCUCGAGGGAUGCUCGAUAGCAGUACAGGAGGGACAUUGUUGUGACUUGCAAACAUCGAAAGAAAUGGAAGAGCUAGCUAAGACGGAUAAAGUUUCCAUCGCAUGUCAAGAGUUGCUGCUUUACGUAAAAGCGAAACCAGACCCUUUUCUCCCUAUAACAGUUGGACCUGCGAACCCAGCUUGGGACCGUUGGUUUG